UCAGCGGACUACAAGAAGCAGAGCCACCCUCAAUCUGGGUAGACACCAUCUAAUCAGCUACCAGCAAGGCUAGAAUAAAACAGGCAGGAGAAGAUGGAAGAGCAGACUUGCUGAGACUUCUGGCCUUCAUCUUUCUCCUGUGCUAGGUGCUUCCUGCCCUCGAACAUCAGACUCCAAGUUCUUCAGCUUUCAAAAUCUUGGACUUAUAUUGGUAAUUUGCCAGAGACCCUUGGGCCUUUGGCCACAGACUGAAGGCUGCACUGUUGGCUUCCCUAUUCUUGAGGUUUUGGGACUCGCACUGAUCCACCACUGGCUUCCUUGGCUCCUCAACUUGCAGCCGGCCUAUCAUGGGACUUACCUAGUGAUCAUGAAUGCUGUGACCUCUGAGAUAAUUCACCCACCGGAGUCAGACUGCUGAAGAACACUGGAUGGGUGGAAAAGGAACAUCUCAACCAGGAGAGAAGGAACUGAGUCAAGAAAGGGCUGCAUCUGGUGAAUAUGUCCCUCCCAGUGAUGGAACCCAGGGCUGCUGCAGCCAAGAGUCUAUAACAGUGGAGACGCCUUGAGCAAAGCCCCAGAGCCCUUGAGCUGCCUGUUCCCCUCCUCUGACAUGAUGGGUAAUCUGAUGGAAGCGCUGAGAGGCACUGCCUAGAAUUAAGCCCUAUGUGUAAACGAAGCAAGGAAGAAAGAACAUGUGCUAUCAAAUAUGAUUCAUGAUUCAAAUAUAUUUUAAUAUCUUAUUCUUUUCACACUCUGAGAAACUAUUCUGAUAAUGUGAUUGUUUUGUAAAGGAGUGUAUCUUC
rnacentral:lncRNA from 1 species